GACGAACGUUGGCGGCGUGCUUAAUACAUGCAAGUCAACUGAAGCAGUGGUAGCAAUAUCGCUGUGGAGGUGGCGCACGGGUGAGUAACACGUAGGUAAUCUGCCUUCAGGUCUGGCAUAACUCCGGGAAACCGGGCUAAUAGCAGAUGAUGCAGCGGCUCGACAUCGAGACAGUUGUUAAAGCUAUGGCGCCUGAAGAUGAGCCUGCGUCUGAUUAGCUAGUUGGCGGGGUAACGGCCCACCAAGGCAACGAUCAGUAGCUGGUCUGAGAGGAUGAUCAGCCACACUGGAACUGGGACACGGUCCAGACUCCUACGGGAGGCAGCAGUAAGGAAUAUUGCUCAAUGGGAGAAAUCCUGAAGCAGCAACGCCGCGUGAGGGACGAAGGGCUUUUGCUUGUAAACCUCUGUAGUGAGAGAAAAAAAUCCCAAUCUUUGGGACAUGAUGGUAUCUCAAAAGUAAGCCCCGGCUAACUACGUG
rnacentral:rRNA from 1 species